UACGAAGGGGGCUAGCGUUGCUCGGAAUCACUGGGCGUAAAGCGCACGUAGGCGGUUUCCUAAGUCGGGGGUGAAAUCCUGGAGCUCAACUCCAGAACUGCCUUCGAUACUGGGAAUCUUGAGUCCGGAAGAGGUGAGUGGAACUGCGAGUGUAGAGGUGAAAUUCGUAGAUAUUCGCAAGAACACCAGUGGCGAAGGCGGCUCACUGGUCCGGUACUGACGCUGAGGUGCGAAAGCGUGGGGAGCAAACAGG
rnacentral:rRNA from 1 species